rnacentral:snRNA from 1 species
GUGCUCGCCUUCGCAGCACAUAUACUAAAGUUGGGAACGAUACGAGAUUAGCAUGGCCCCGCGCAAGGAUACCUCAAUUCGUGAACGUUCCAUAUUUUUU